CGUGCUAUUCGCCCUUCGCAGGUGACUCCGCCUCUCCCUCCUUUAAUCUUCUCCAUCUCCGAAAGCCCCGGGCCGUUGUCAUCUCCGGCGGCGACGAAGGACCAGAGUGCCACUUCGCCAAGACCACUUCUUCUCCGACGUCAGGCUGCGCCAGGGACGCCACUCCCGACGACGCCCUUCGUCCAGAUCCAGGAAGGGCAGGAGAACGAGCGCGGCGUCGGGGAUCGUAGGCGAUGCAGUUCUUCAGCGGCUCGUCGGUGGCGGAGAUCAGCCCCUCCCCUGCGGCGCCGCCCGGUACGGCGACGGGGCUCGCCGGGAACAACGCCCACAUGCUCUACAUCUUCAACCGGGGUGGCGUCUGCCUCCUCUACCGCGAGUGGCACCGCCCUCUGCGCACGCUCGACGCCAACCAGGACCAGAAGCUCAUGUUCGGCCUCCUCUUCUCCCUGCGCUCCUUCACCGCCAAGAUGGAUCCCACCAGCGUGGAUAAAGGCAAUCUCGGGGUGCCGCUGUUACCGGGCCAAGGUUGCUCCUUUUAUAGUUUUAGGACCAAUACCUAUAAACUGAGUUUCAUGGAAAGCCCGUCUGGGAUAAAGCUUAUCUUAAUCACACAUCCAAAGACCAGCGACCAUCGAGAGUCUCUGAAGCAAAUAUACAGCCUUUAUGUGGAAUAUGUUGUAAAGAAUCCUCUCUAUGUUCCAGGGACUCCAAUCAAGUCUGAACUCUUCGAUACCAACCUGGAGCAGUAUGUGAAAACAUUGAUCUAGCUUGCCGAGAAAAUCUGGACACGGAUCAGAUAUAAAUUUGUGGAAAGACCAGAUUCCACUCGAUGCAUGUUUGAUUGUCGACGGAAUGACUCAUCGAGCACAAGUAAAAUGAGGCGGUUAAGUCACCACAUUCCCCUCAUUUACAAUGUGUACAAAAGGGGUAACUGCAGACAAAAGAUGGGUUGUUGUGUUGUGAGCCUGCCCCCAGUUUGGCUGUUGACGUCCCAAUUGACAUGCGCUGGAAUACCUUGACGGUAUGUUUUAUCACCUAACAUGGCACAGAGCAUCUUUUAUCACUUAACUUUCUUCUGCUUUUAGAAAAGUUUUACCACUUCUCCAAGUAUUCAACUUGUUCUGCACUCAAG